GGAGGACGCAGCACGGAGGAUGGCGAGCUGGCGGGGCCUCUUCGGGCUCACGUUCCUGUGUCUCCUGAUGCGCGGCCGAGGUCAAGGCGACUUUGAUUUGGCUGAUGCUCUCGACGACCCCGACAUCUACCCAAAGCCGAAGCCGCCCUAUCCCCCCCAGCCGGGGCAUCCUGGCAACAGCGGAGACAUCUACCCAAAGCCGAAGCCGCCCUAUCCCCCCCGGCCUGGACAUCCUGGCAACGGCGGAG
rnacentral:lncRNA from 1 species